GAGGGAAUAGCUCAAGUGGUAGAAUGCACGCUUGGCAAGCAUGUGGCCCUGGGUUCAACCCCCAGUACCUCCU
rnacentral:tRNA from 1 species